UUUGGAGGGGAAUCAAUUUUGUGAUUAAUUUUUUAAAAUAAAUUACGUUGAUUUAAAACGCUUUUUGAGUCAGAUCUUGAAACACUUGACCAUGCAUGAGGUGCUUUCUUACUUAGGUAGAGCAUGAUUGCCUGUCCAAGUAUAAGAUUCACCCAAUCAUGACGUGGUAAAAUCCCAUUGGCUGCUUGAUGGGUUCCAGUUACACCGCAUCAUCGGCUGCGACGAUAUAAAAAAGAGACCCAGAACCAUGGUUUGCUUCGGGUCAUUCCUUUUGGAUCUCAUCUUUGUAUCAGGAUAUUCGAAAUUUUGAUAUGCCACAUGAAACCCUAGAUCUUCGUUUUCCUCACUGAUGCGCUGGUUUGGCGCAUGACUCGGUUAACAUUGCGAUUUUUUUUGGAUUUUGAAUUGCGUGUUGAUUAAUGGAUAGUAAUAAGGACGAAGCAUUGAGAUGCGUUCGUAUUGCCGAGGAAGCAAUUGUUUCUGGAAACAAGCAGCGCGCGCUUAAAUUCAUUGGAAUUGCGCAGAGGCUCAACCAUAAUCUUUCGGUCGGUGAUCUUUUGGCUGCAUGUGAGAGGCUUGAUGAGGCUGCGGCGCCCCCGCCACCGGCUGUGGAUGGGCAUGGUGUUGAUCAGAAUAGGAAUGAGUCUGUUCGAAGUAAGGUUGGCGAGGUUUCGAAUGGGGAGCAGAAUUAUACAGAGGAACAUGUGGAAUUGAUAAGGAAGAUUAGGAGGAAUAAGGACUAUUAUGGGAUUCUUGGUGUAGAGAAGAGUUGUUCGGUGGAGGAGAUUAGAAAGGCUUAUAGGAAAUUGUCGUUAAAAGUUCAUCCUGAUAAGAACAAGGCCCCAGGUUCUGAAGAAGCGUUUAAGAAAGUGUGCAAGGCUUUCAAGUGCUUGAGUGAAGAGGAAUCAAGGAGGCAGUAUGAUCAAACGGGUCUGGUUGAAGAAUUUGAGUACAAUCAGCAGCACAAUGUUAGGCGGCGGAGGAGGAGGACUGGGCAUGACUUCUUUGAUGAUGAUUUUGAUCCUGAUGAGAUAUUCAGGUCAUUCUUUGGUCAGACAGAGAUGUUCCGCGCAAACUAUGUUUAUAGGACUAGAGACAUGGGUGGCCAACAGAGAGAGAAUUUUCAUGGUGGUGGACCUAAUAUUAUGGUUCUUCUUCAGAUAUUGCCCUUCUUGUUAAUUUUCCUGCUAGCUUAUCUGCCCUUUUCAGAGCCAGAGUAUUCCUUGCAGAGGAACUAUACUUACCAGUUUUCCCAGACAACUGAGAAGCAUGGGGUGGAAUUCUAUGUUAAAUCUGCAGAAUUUGACGAGAAGUAUCCGCUAGGUAGUGUUGAUCGAGCUAAAAUUGAGGGCAAUGUAAUAAGAGAUUACAAGCACAUGCUUGGGCGCUAUUGUCAUAUAGAACUCCAGAGGCGUCAGUGGAAUAGAAAUUUACCAAUUCCACACUGUGAUAAGUUGCAGAACCUUGGAAUAGCAUGAAGCUUGGGCCAAGGAUUGGUAUUCAGCUUCAUCACAAAAUCAUUCCAAAAACAAUCCUUGAGUUGCUGGUUUCAAGUGUAGACCGUAACCAGUGUACACGUGAGGGCCUGUGGAUUGAAUAUAGGAUAUAGCUUAAGUGGCUCUGCAUUAUGGUGAGCCUGGAGUCGAAACAUUGGUCAGUGGAUGAGAAAACUAGUGGGCUUGAGUUGCACAGAGCUGUGGCCCCAACAUUUACAUCCCAACUCCAAGUAGACGUUUUGGUCAUGCUCCUGUGUCUGCCAAUUUGGCCCAGAGAAGUGGUAGAUGAGAUUUUCAACACCCAAAUCAUGCCACUGCACUUUGCUUUCGGUAAUGUGAUAAAACUAUACAGUGUGUAAUUUUUCCAAAUAGCUUAUGUAUUGAAUGCCUAGCAGGCUGAGUACAGUUAUGAACAUAGCAGAUGGAAAUCUAACUAUUGGCUAUGAUAAAUGAAUUUACCCAGAUUGGUUUCAUGA